UAGUUCCAGUAAGAUACCCAUAUAUAGACGGCGUAGGUGAGACAACAUUGGCGCCCAACGACGUGGGGCUCGAACCCACGACCCUGAGAUUAAGAGCCUCAUGCUCUACCGACUGUACUGCCCGACUAGCUGCCCAGCUGAUGAAUCUCCCACCGCUCCAUUUCCCUGCGUUGGUUGCAACAUGAUAGGAACGUGGACAGUUGUUUGCUGCACUGGAAAAUCUCUGUACGGAGAAGAACAUGCUGGCCAGCCAUGUCUUGCUGAAACGACGUGACGAUUUGGAGCGGGAUUUCCUAUCAAAGGAUCAUCUAGAGCACUAAUUACAAAAUGUCCAUCAACUUGAUGGAGAACUGCCAGCGAGCAGUA